rnacentral:rRNA from 1 species
UACGAAGGGGGCUAGCGUUGCUCGGAAUCACUGGGCGUAAAGCGCACGUAGGCGGCUUUCUAAGUCAGGGGUGAAAUCCUGGAGCUCAACUCCAGAACUGCCUUUGAUACUGGAGAGCUUGAGUCCGGGAGAGGUGAGUGGAACUCCGAGUGUAGAGGUGAAAUGCGUAGAGAUCUGGAAGAACACCAAAGGCGAAGGCAGCAUCCUGGGAAGUUCCUGACGCUCGGGUGCGAAAGCCAGGGGAGCGAACGGG